rnacentral:tRNA from 1 species
GGGCCCGUGGCUCAGCUUGGUUAGCGCGCUCGACUGAUAAUCGAGAGGUCCGGAGUUCAAAUCUCCGCGGGCCCA